UACGGAGGAUCCGAGCGUUAUCCGGAUUUACUGGGUUUAAAGGGUGCGUAGGCGGGUGGCUCAGUCGGCGGUGAAAUGCAGCGGCUCAACCGUUGCCCUGCCGUCGAAACUGGCCGCCUUGAAUUCGGUCGAGGCCGGCGGAAUGCGCGGUGUAGCGGUGAAAUGCUUAGAUAUCGCGCGGAACGCCGAUUGCGGAGGCAGCUGGCUGGACCGAGAUUGACGCUGAUGCACGACAGCGUGGGGAUCGAACAGGAUUAGAUACCCUGGUAGUCCACGCCGUAAACGAUGAUGGCUGGGUGUUGGCGAUACACUGUCAGCGCCUGAGCGAAAGCAUUAAGCCAUCCACCUGGGGAGUACGAUCGCAAGGUUGAA
rnacentral:rRNA from 1 species